UCAUAGGCUCGCUGACUAUUGGCUCAGCUACCAUUUGACUGAAGAGGAGCCUGGUGAUGAAAAGGAACACAGAGAGAAACAUGAGGUAAACUGAGAGUGGAAGCUGGGAACAAUGGAGUAAAUGCUACAGAAUGGGGCAGCCAGGAUCUGUGGUGUGCUUGUCCCAGAACAAAGGCCAAAGGCAAAAGAGAAAAGCUGUCAACGGUUGCAUCCCUGGGGAGAGAUGUUUAACGCAUUCCUGGGCUGCUGACGAAUGUCCUUCCUGUUCUGGAGAAGCAACGGAGGCGGAGGCGUGCCCAGGACCUCAGUUCUGGGGCUUUUGCUCCCUGGUAUGAAGGAAGGGAGAUGGUUGCCCAACCGCCAUCCCUGGAGACUCUACUACAGAAGAGGGGGUUUUGAAAGCGCCAGCUUUCCCUCCUGGAUUUUCCAGCAGCACUAUGACAGUAACUCCACUGUCACCUGCUUCCAAGUGGCUCACAUUAUACAUGGUUGUGAGCCACCAUGUGGUUUCUGGGAAUUGAACUCAAGUCCUCUGGACGAUCAGUCAGUACUCUAAACCUCUGAGCCAUCUCUCCAGCCCAAGUGGCUCAUUCCUAAACCACAGAACCUCUCCAUCACUAGGCUCUUCCACAAGAUACUCUUCCUUAGAGGAACAAGCUACAAAUUCCCAAGUGGAUUGUAAAUGAGAUUCUUCUUCAUCUCCUGCAAGACUGUUCAUGAUCCUUGCAAAAUCCUCACACAGGACCGGAUGGGAAAGGAGUCGAAGCCUCUGAUUUGCUCCAAUGGUAGUAAUGGCUGGAUAUGGGAGUUGGAGAAGAGUCAUCAUUGUCUGCUGUGUGUUUGGAUGGGAGCCUAGCAAAUACCUGGGAGUUGGGAGAGCUCUAGGCUGCCUCUGUUUGGAGUUGCAGGUGGAUGUCUACAUGUCUCUAUCUGGCCCCCCAGGCUAUUCAUCACCAUGCCAACUGACACUGUGUGCGGGCCAGUGCAUUGGCAACUUGGGCUUGAGGAUGUGGGAGCAAAUGAGAAGCACUUGCCCCCAAACCCCACGGAUAGAGACAUGAGCUGGGCUGCUGGGAAUGGAGAAGUGGAGCCAGAAAGAUUUGGAGUAGGCAAAGUUGGAGUACCUGGCAGUGCUCAACUCUUUCUAGAGCAGGCUGAGCCUGCAACUCUCACUCAUGACUCUCCAAAACUGUCCUAUGAUGGGCAAGUCAAGAUGUUGGAGCUGCCCUGGGCUUCCUGUGACUGGAAGACCCAAAGCCAGAAAAGAGAGGGGAGUAGUAAGAUAACACCUGACUUAAGGCCAUGAAGCCAGGAUAUGGAGAGG
rnacentral:lncRNA from 1 species